UAGGUUAGAGUGGUAAGAAGCCUAUAAUCUCUUUAAAUGCUCUCACCGAAUACUUCUGCAGUUACAGAGUAUUGUUCACCUCGAAAAAGGUUACAUGGGAGCAUUCGAAGUGGGCAAAAAAAUUGUAGGCAGAUAAAUAAAAUGACUAGAUCAAAAUGAAUGGAAAUUGUAUUAUUUCCACGAAAAGCAAAAAGAACAUAAUAAAAAAAUAAAGAAAAACCUUAAUAACAGUUUCUAUGGCUAUGUAUUGUACCAACAAUACAAAUCUACAAAGCUUUCCACAACAUGACUCUAGUUGGCACCGCUUAGCAAGCUCCUUGCCAUUAACUCUCAACAGUCACAAACCCUUCUAUUGCCACGUGCAGACUUGCCCUAUGACUUUGCUAUGUCCAUCAAAAAUAGCUUGCAUGCUGGCUAGACGAGGUUCAAAAGUUAUACACCAUCAGUCCAACAAAGGAAAACGCUAACCAAGAUCUUCUCAGCUAGUUUGGAGAAUGGCCAGAAAUCAAUUGCUUUUCCAAAUUUACAAGGAUCAUUAUAAGACUGAUUAUGCUGAGGACCCCUGAAGAACCAAUGUGUUCCCCAAUAUUUUACACAAGCACAAUAUUUCCAUCAGAGAGCCAAGUUCCCCCUCCUCCCAAAAGUUGUAUGGAGUCACCUGCCCUGAACCAGUCUGUAGUUAAGGACCAGAUCCUCAGGUUUCUUCCAUAUGUAAGCUCUCACGGUGGCUAAGCUCAUGUCUGGGGAUAAGACCUGAUUGUUGCACAAAAUCUCUAUGGAAGGCCUCAGCUUUUGCCAAGGCUUCAGUCCAGGUCGNNNNNNNNNNAACAGUGGAAUGCUGUAACUGUCCUCCACCAAGUCCAGGAGCAAAACUUCCAUCAGGAUUAUCCAGCGGUUUGUCAAGGACCAUCUUUUCUAUGAC
rnacentral:misc_RNA from 1 species